UACGAACUGUGCGAACGUUAUUCGGAAUCACUGGGCUUACAGGGUGCGUAGGCGGUUUACCAAGUCAGGUGUGAAAGCCCCCGGCUCAACCGGGGAAUGGCGCUUGAAACUAGUAAGCUGGAGUGCAGCAGGGGCGCGUGGAACUUCUGGUGGAGCGGUGAAAUGUGUAGAGAUCAGAAGGAACGCCGGUAGCGAAAGCGGCGCGCUGGGCUGUAACUGACGCUGAGGCACGAAAGCCAGGGGAGCGAACGGG
rnacentral:rRNA from 1 species